rnacentral:rRNA from 1 species
AACAAGAAUUCCUUCUCAUGGAACAUCAUAAUGUCCUGCUUGUUGGAGAACCGCCAUGGAGAAGACGCACUCCGCAUCUCCGUCCAUUUGGUGAGACUGGAAGGCAAUGUCAAGCCAUGCGUGUCCACAUACACAACUGCUCUGCACAUCUGCUCGGUGCUGGCGUUGCUUGUUUUGUCGGCACAAGUCCAUGCACGCACGGUGAAGAACAGUCUUUGUUGCGGCAGCAGUGCCUUCCUCUGCAAUUCUCUGAUCAGCAUGUACAGCAGCUGCGGCAUGACACGGGAUCUGCAGCAAGUGUUUAAUCAAACAAGAGUAAGAGACACCGUAUCAUGGAACUCAGUGAUACAGGGGCUUGGCCAGAAUGGUCUAGGCAAGCAAGCACUGGUGGCCGCAGAGCGUGCUCUUGAACUGAAAAUGUACAACGGCAGCACCUUCAUCGCCAUACUGAGAUCCUGCAGCCAUGCUGGAUUGGUCCCCGAGGGCCUAGGUUAUUUCAACUCCAUGACUGAAAAGUAUGGAGUGGAGCGGGCACUUGACCACUGCAUCAAUGUCAUUGAUCUCCUGGGUCGCGCAGGGAAGCUGGAAGAGGCGCAUGCUCUGCUUCAGAACAUGCUGUUCCCGUCAAAUGUGUUGGCAUGGUCUACCCUUUUGCAUUCUUGUUUGGCUCAUAAGGACAGCCCGGUGGGGAGCAUCGCAGCACGGCAACUGGAAGCUCUCCAACCCGAUGGUAGUGGAAAUUAUAAGAGGUUGGUGUUUGGUUGCGGGGAAGCUAGCGAGGUUAAUGCAGCACCGUUAGAGCGGUCAGGGGACGUGAAGAGUGCUCUUCACAUGCCUGGAUGCAGCUGGGUCACCUGA